CGCAGGCGCACUCAAUCGCGGGUCUGGCCCGCGGUGGCUGUCAGACGAGCGGCGCGCGAUGCGCCGGCGGGGGCUGAAGUCUAGGUCGGCGGUCCCUGAGUAGGGUGGCGAUGGCUACGGCGGAGGGUGAUCCCGCAGCGGUGGAGGAGCCGGUGGAGCUGCCAGCCGCCAUGCGCGCGAACAUCGAGAGGAAGCGGCAGCGGGCACUGAUGCUGCGCCAGGCCCGGCUGGCGGCCCGGCCCUACCCGACGGCGGCCACUGGAGGCAUGACCAAUGUCAAAGCAGCUCCCAAAAUGAUUGACACCAAAGGAGGCUUCAUUUUAGAAGAGGAGGAAGAAGAAAAACAGAAAAUUGGGAAUGUUGUUCAUCAACCAGGACCGGUCAUGGAGUUUGAUUACUUGAUAUGUGAAGAGUGUGGCAAGGAGUUUAUGGAUUCAUACCUCAUGAACAACUUUGAUUUGGCAACUUGUGAUAACUGCAGAGAUGCUGAUGAUAAACAUAAACUUAUAACCAAAACAGAAGCAAAGCAAGAAUACCUUCUGAAAGACUGUGACUUAGAAAAGAGAGAGCCCGCUCUUAGGUACAUCGUGAAGAAGAACCCUCAUCAUUCACAGUGGGGCGAUAUGAAGCUUUACCUGAAGUUACAGAUUGUGAAGAGGGCUCUAGAAGUUUGGGGUAGCCAGGAAGCCCUGGAAGAGGCAAAGGCAGUGAGACAGGAAAACCGAGAGAAACUGAAGCAGAAGAGGUUCGAUAAGAAAGUAAAAGUGUUCUGCUCCAGCCCCUCCUCUCUAACAGUAAGUGCAGCUGCUAAGAAAGGAUAAAGUAAUGAAGAGGCAUAUUAAGGAAGGGGUGUGGAAAGGGGCCUCCAGUGCUUGGUGGAGAUGUUCCUGUCCCGACUAGGCCACAGAGGGCGGAGUGGCGUAGCCUGUAGAGUAGAAACAGGAGUUCUCUGUACAGUUUGCUCAGAAGGCUCAGAACAGAGAGGAAUGAAAGCAAGUCUAAAGGCUUUUAGUUGAAAAUAAAUUGGAACCUGGUUCCUCUUGAUCCACAUCGAAGUUGACACAAAGUUUUCUUCUUUAUGGGAAGAAUUGCGGCGAGCAGUAAGAAGCAGCGUGUGGAAAAGAGAAACGGCUGCCCAUCAACAUGAGUACGGACCAGAGGAAAACUUGGAAGAGGACAUGUACCGCAAGACUUGUACUUUGUGUGGCC